AUCGAAGCGGCAGUUGAACGCGGGAACGAAACUUCUUUUUUCAGUUUAACCAACAUCAGCCAGCCCCAUCAUGGACCUGACGAACUUGCGGUGUCAAGUGUAUGGAAUAGUCUUCAGCAUUGCCAUUUUCUUGAUCGUGUUACUUUUAUGUGAGCGCUUGAUUGUGCGCUACAUCCCAAAGGCAAUUGUUAAAAUCUUGGGACGCGAAGAGUUCGAAAAAGGCCGAACUUCUAAAAAAACUGUGACUUAGGCGGAGUAAUUUUUUAGAAUAGAACAAAGGCAGAGGUGAGAAUCAUCCCGAGCACGUUUGAAUUCGUAGCUGCGCUGAGAACAAUAAUUUUGUUGAUCUGAGUUUUUUGUUGGUCAAACUACUGGUCUCACAGGGAAUGUCAGAAUUUUUUGGUUCUCCACUGUCUCUGCGCACUCGGCAAUGUGAAAUCGGAUGAAAAAACAUUUUUUGUUAAUUGCACCAAUGAUGCUUACAAAUUAAAAGUUCACAUUCUUUUUUUCAUGAAAAUAAUAUUGUUUUUUUCUCAAACUACUAAAAAUAUUAUUAAAAUUACGGGUUAGCAACUACCGCUUUGAGUUUCCAAAUGUAUUGUGUACACAUUUGAAAAAAUCUCUGAAAAUGAAAUUUCGAGUAACUGUUCGUGGACGAGACUGCAUAUAAAUUGAAAUUGAAUGAAAAUUUUGAUUUUUGAUUAAUUCGAAUGAAAAUAGAAUAUUAAUUUUGACAAAAAUUUAUUAAAUUUGAUUCAGUACGAUUGAAAAUUUCCAAAAUAAUUUUCAACUCGCCGAGACCAUCUUGGGCUGUUUGAAAAUUUGACAGGCUCCCACUACAUUUGAGUUGUCAUUAGGAAACGUCAGGGUCAAAAAAUCUUUCAACACUUUUCUGAGUCAUCCGAUCAAGCUCGUGUGAGUUUUAGUUUUUGAAACUUCGAGAUUCGUUUUCCGAGUUACGAUUUUCGACGGAAUCAGCAAAAAUUUUUCGUUUUGUCGUCACAUGUUUUCAAGGCAGCUAAUUAGCGAUUCGAGGUCAGGUUCCGGCGGAUUUUUCUUGGAAUUGACGUAUCUCCUCUUAGAAUUAUAAUUCAGUGAAAAAAUAAAACGAAAAAAAUCGAAUAGGAGGAACAUUCGAGGAGAAGGAAAGUUCCAGGGGACUGUUGAAAAUUUCAGGCUCUGAGAAACUUGUAAACAGUGUUAUUUGAAGCUUCUCUGAAACGUCCCUUCAUUUCCACCGCUGUAUAGUCGACGAAAGCCUGUUGAAGUCGUGCAGACAGCCAAGAUGAUGGAGCGAAUUACAGGAGUGCGCAUGCCAAAUUAUUCAGGAAAUCGAAUUAAUACAAUGAGGACGCAGGAGGAAACAAGUUCAAUACCGAAUAUGGAUUUGAAACUAUUUUAUGGAAGCACCGUCAUUGUCUUGCUAUUGCUAAUAAUCCUCGUCUUCUCCAUGCGACCAAAAUUUUUUGGUUUCUCCUCGCACGAAGAGAAAUUUUCAUCGCUAUUCUUAUAUGACACUGACUCUCCGUCCUGUAAAGCCACCACUAUCGUAAUAACUAAAAAUGAUGACGAAUUUUUCGACAAUUACUACAAUAAAUACUGUCACCCGUGGCUAUAACGUAAAUUAUUUAAUAUAGACAAGAAAAAAUAGUACAUUACAAUACGUGUGACUUAGAGUAUGGAUCAGUCGACUAACCUCACUUGGAAUUUUCGAAAUCGAAAUUCUUUGACACAGUUUGACUGAUUAAAAAAAAGGCUCUGUCAGCUUACGCAGAACGAUGGCAAAAAUCGACUGACAGAGCCUUUUUUUAAUCGGUCAAACUGUGCCAAAGAAUUUCGAUUUCGAAAUUUGCAGCUAUCUCUCUCGCACUCACGGUGGCGAGAUAGCGACUGCUCCAUCACCUUAAUUUAAGAGUAUCGUAUACUAUUUUAUAGCCCGUAUGACAUAAGACGCAAAAGCGUAACUAAAAUACGGGUUUAGGUCAUGCGGCGUUAUAAAAACAAUUUUUAAUUAUUGUAAUAAAAUUCAUUAAAAAGUAUACUGCAAAUCCUUCGAGGCUGAAAUAAAAUGACCUCUUCGAAUCCAAAAA